rnacentral:misc_RNA from 1 species
CCAAACUUGGUCAUUUAGAGGAAGUAAAAGUCGUAACAAGGUCUCCGUAGGUGAACCUGCGGAGGGAUCAUUAGAAAAUCCAAACCCGCGUGUGCACGGCUUCUCGCCGUCGCCGCGCACCCCUAUAUAUGCCUGGGCCCGUUGCCGGACUCUGUCUGGUGGCGGCCUAGUUGCUAACUAUAUACACCUGACUACUGCUGCAGGCCUCGGCUUGCGUAGUAUACUGAACCUCUUUUUCUUCCCCUUCGCCUGCAAUCUCGGUUGCUUGCGCCGGAUGGAAUAAAAUAACUUUAAACAACUUUCAACAAUGGAUCCCUCGGCUCUCCCAUCGAUGAAGAACGCAGC